ACGGAAGGCAGCAGUGAGGAAUAUUGGUCAAUGGGCGGAAGCCUGAACCAGCCAAGUCGCGUGAAGGAAGACGGUAUUAUGUAUUGUAAACCUCUUUAGACGCAGAGAAAUAAGGUGCUCGCGAGCACUGAUGCUAGUAUGCGUAGAAUAAGGAUCGGCUAACUCCGUGCCAGCAGCCGCGGUAAUACGGAGGAUCCGAGCGUUAUCCGGAUUUAUUGGGUUUAAAGGGUGCGCAGGCGGCGCUUUAAGUCAGUGGUCAAAUCGUGAGGCUCAACCUCAUCCCGCCAUUGAUACUGGAGCGCUUGAUUGCGGUUGAGGUAGGCGGAAUUCGUCGUGUAGCGGUGAAAUGCAUAGAUAUGACGAAGAACCCCGAUUGCGUAGGCAGCUUACCAAGCCGUAAAUGACGCUCAUGCACGAAAGUGCGGGGAUCGAACAGGAUUAGAUACCCUGGUA
rnacentral:rRNA from 1 species